GUAGGUGAACCUGCGGAAGGAUCACUAGUGAUUAAACUGAGGUCGUACUAGGCUUAAAAACCCUAAGACGUCUCAACCCUUCACAUCCACAUACACCUGUGCACUGUUAUGGUUGUAGAUUGUCAAGUGGUGUCUUUCGGAAACGAAAGAUUAUCUUGAUGAACUCGCCAUCAUUUUUAUACAAAAACUCAAGUCUUAUGAAUGUAAACGUUUUAUAAUAAACUAAUAAAACUUUCAACAACGGAUCUCUUGGCUCUC
rnacentral:misc_RNA from 1 species